GUAAGGAAUAUUGGUCAAUGGAGGCAACUCUGAACCAGCCAUGCCGCGUGCAGGAAGACGGCCCUCUGGGUUGUAAACUGCUUUUAUUCGGGAAUAAACCUACUUACGUGUAAGUAGCUGAAUGUACCGAAGGAAUAAGGAUCGGCUAACUCCGUGCCAGCAGCCGCGGUAAUACGGAGGAUCCAAGCGUUAUCCGGAUUUAUUGGGUUUAAAGGGUGCGUAGGCGGCCUGUUAAGUCAGGGGUGAAAGACGGUAGCUCAACUAUCGCAGUGCCCUUGAUACUGAUGGGCUUGAAUGGACUAGAGGUAGGCGGAAUGAGACAAGUAGCGGUGAAAUGCAUAGAUAUGUCUCAGAACACCGAUUGCGAAGGCAGCUUACUAUGGUCUUAUUGACGCUGAGGCACGAAAGCGUGGGGAUCAAACAGGAUUAGAUACCCCUGUAGUCC
rnacentral:rRNA from 1 species